rnacentral:lncRNA from 1 species
UAAAAUCGACUCAUUAAACUUAUUAGAAAUAUAAGCGUACUCCCACUGAAUCUGUAUAACCCACAACUCUCCAUAAUAUGUAUCUCAAAACCAAAUGAGACAAUCACCUUAUGAGACUUUUGUGUGACAAUAUUUCUUAACAAAUGAAUGGAUUGCUUUUGUUUCCACAUUAUCUACUUUGUGUCUAUUGACAUAAAGUUUAACCUGAUUGCACUUUAUUGUGUUUCUUAAUGUUGCCAUUAAAAAAUCACUAUCUUGAUAUCCAUAUUAUUUAGCUCCAAAAACUAUAAUAAAUAACAAGUGUCGUGACUGUCCUAAUAGAGUUUUCAAAACAAAACGAAUAUAAUUUCGCUUUUCCGUCAAUACUUUAUGACACUUGAUACUUUAAUUCUUG